rnacentral:rRNA from 1 species
UUUUCUAGCGAAACUGCCUCUAAAAAAGGGGAGGAAGGUGGGGAUGACGUCAGGUCAGCACGGCUCUUACGUCUUGGGCCAGAAACACGCUACAAUGGUCGUUACAGAGGGUUGCUAAGGAGCGAUCCGGAGCUAAUCCCAAAAAGACGGCCCCAGUUGGAAUUGCAGGCUGAAACUCGCCUGCAUGAACGUGGAGCUGCUAGUAACUGCAGGUCAGCACACUGCGGUGAAUACGUUCUCGGGGGUUGUACACACCGCCCGUCACGUCAUGGAAGUCGGCAACACUUGAAGUCGCUGGGCCAACCCUUAGGGGGGGCAGGCGCCGAGAGUGGGGUCUGUGACUGGGACGAAGUCGUAACAAGGUAGCUGUACCGGAAGGUGCGGCUGGAUCACCUCCUUUCUAGGGAG